UUCACGGAGAGUUUGAUCCUGGCUCAGGACGAACGCUGGCGGCGUGCUUAACACAUGCAAGUCGAACGAUGAACCGCUUUCGGGCGGGGAUUAGUGGCGAACGGGUGAGUAACACGUGGGCAAUCUGCCCUGCACUCUGGGACAAGCCCUGGAAACGGGGUCUAAUACCGGAUAUGACCGUCUGCCGCAUGGUGGAUGGUGUAAAGCUCCGGCGGUGCAGGAUGAGCCCGCGGCCUAUCAGCUUGUUGGUGAGGUAGUGGCUCACCAAGGCGACGACGGGUAGCCGGCCUGAGAGGGCGACCGGCCACACUGGGACUGAGACACGGCCCAGACU
rnacentral:rRNA from 1 species